UGGGGAAUAUUGGACAAUGGGCGCAAGCCUGAUCCAGCCAUGCCGCGUGAGUGACGAAGGCCUUAGGGUUGUAAAGCUCUUUUGGCGGGGACGAUAAUGACGGUACCCGCAGAAUAAGCCCCGGCUAACUUCGUGCCAGCAGCCGCGGUAAUACGAAGGGGGCUAGCGUUGUUCGGAAUUACUGGGCGUAAAGCGCACGUAGGCGGACUUUCAAGUCAGGGGUGAAAUCCCGGGGCUCAACCUCGGAACUGCCUCUGAUACUGUGAAGCUAGAGUGUGGAAGAGGCUACUGGAAUUCCGUGUGUAGCGGUGAAAUGCGUAGAUAUACGGAGGAACACCGAUGGCGUAGGCAGGUUACUGGAUCACAACUGACACUGAGGCACGAAAGCG
rnacentral:rRNA from 1 species